CGGCACUCCAGAUGUUUUGGACUACACCUCCCAUGAUGCUUUGCCAGCAUUAUGGGGGAUGUAGUCCACAACAUCUGGAGUGCCA